UGCCAGCAGCCGCGGUAAUACGGAGGGUGCUAGCGUUGUUCGGAAUUACUGGGCGUAAAGCGUAUGUAGGCGGCUUUAUAAGUCGGAUGUGAAAGUCCCGGGCUUAACCCGGGAAGUGCAUCCGAUACUAUUUGGCUUGAGUACAGGAGAGGGUAGUGGAAUUUCUGGUGUAGUGGUGAAAUACGUAGAUAUCAGAAGGAACAUCGGUGGCGAAGGCGGCUGCCUGGCCUAGUACUGACGCUGAGAUACGAAAGCGUGGGGAGCAAACAGGAUUAGAUA
rnacentral:rRNA from 1 species